rnacentral:lncRNA from 12 species
AUGGCCCUCGUCGAUUUUUGUGCCAUGGAGGCCCAGGCUAUGGAAAAAUCUCUUACAGAGCCUGUCCAGGCUCCAAUGCUCCAGAAGUGGAAGGCAGAGGAUGAUGCUGAACAUCCUUGGCUCAAGCACUGUGCUGAAGAGACGAUCAUUUGGAUUCUGUUUAUGCAUGUAAGUUAAUAUCUAUUUGGGAACUGUCUCCGUCUUUGUACUUAACACUUCCUUAAAUUAAGGGACUUAAGGAUCUAUUCCAUCUUGCAAUAUCAGUCUCAGAGAGGUGGACGUAAUGGUUCUGUUUUCCAGACAGACACAGGAGAAAGCAUUUGCUGGGAGAACUUGCUGAAUGGGAUGGGGGCCUGAGAACCCAGGACGUCUCAGUCUGGUGUUCUCUGGUCAGGUAGGAGGUGAAAGGGGGGGACCAGCAUUACUCAUGGCCAGCAAGUCCCGCCCAUUGUGUAUAAAUUCAAAUUCUGCAAAUCAAUCACAUUUCAGAAAAGCUUAAGGGGUUCAACAUUACUCAUUUACAUUCCUUUCUUGAUGAUUAAACAUUUAUUAAGCACUUGAAGCAUGCCAAGCAGUUACACUUUCUAGGAUUCUGAUUGCAAGUUUGGAAAAUUAUAUUAAAAUCUACAAAUGUUCAUACUCCUUACUUAGUGUUGGUUUAGAAAUUUAUUCUAAAUAAAUGUCAGAUAUGCACCUAAAGAUUGAUUAUG